UACAGAGGGUGCGAGCGGUAAUCGGAUUCACUGGGCGUAAAGCGUGCGUAGGCGGCUUUUUAAGUCGGAUGUGAAAUACCCGAGCUGAACUUUGGAAUUGCAUUCGAUACUGGGAAGCUAGAGUAUGGGAGAGGAUGGUAGAAUUCCAGGUGUAGCGGUGAAAUGCGUAGAGAUCUGGAGGAAUACCGAUGGCGAAGGCAGUCAUCUGGCCUAAUACUGACGCUGAGGUAUGAAAGCAUGGGGAGUAAACAGG
rnacentral:misc_RNA from 1 species